rnacentral:rRNA from 1 species
UACAGAGGGUGCAAGCGUUAAUCGGAUUUACUGGGCGUAAAGCGCGCGUAGGCGGCUAAUUAAGUCAAAUGUGAAAUCCCCGAGCUUAACUUGGGAAUUGCAUUCGAUACUGGUUAGCUAGAGUGUGGGAGAGGAUGGUAGAAUUCCAGGUGUAGCGGUGAAAUGCGUAGAGAUCUGGAGGAAUACCGAUGGCGAAGGCAGCCAUCUGGCCUAACACUGACGCUCAUGCACGAAAGCGUGGGGAGCAAACAGG